rnacentral:rRNA from 1 species
GACGAACGCUGACGGCGUGCUUUAGACAUGCAAGUCGAACGAGAAAGCCCUUCGGGGUUAGUAAAGUGGCGAACGGGUGAGUAACACGUGGGCAAUCUGCCCUUCGUUGGGGGACAACCGGGGGAAACCCCGGCUAAUACCCCGUAAGCUUGUCGGGUCGCAUGGCCUGACAAGGAGAGGUAGCUUCGGCCAUCCGGCGAAGGAGGAGCCCGCGGUACAUUAGCUAGUUGGUGAGGUAAAGGCCCACCAAGGCGACGAUGUAUAGCUGGUCUGAGAGGAUGAUCAGCCACACUGGGACUGAGACACGGCCCAGACUCCUACGGGAGGCAGCAGUCGGGAAUCUUGCACAAUGGGCGAAAGCCUGAUGCAGCAACGCCGUGUGAGCGACGAAGGCCCUAGGGUCGUAAAGCUCUGUUGUUAGGGACGAAGGGCGAAGGGUUAAUAGCCCUUAGCCUGACGGUACCUUUCGAGGAAGCCCCGGCUAACUACGUGCCAGCCGCCGCAGUAAUAC